CAUCUCAGACCAUGCAUGGCCAAGUGUGUACCUUCUUCCUUGCAUCAAGAUGAGGAAGCCUAGGAAAGACAGAGCCACCCAAUGGAGAGGCCUCAAGAAGAAGUUCAGCCCAAGAGGCAGAAUCCAGUGUCUGCAGGGUUCAAGGCUAUAGAGAAAGGAAGUGGUCCAGGCAAGCUGUCAACAUCAGGAGCAUAACACAAAUUGGCAGAGCAGGACCUUUUUCUCCUCCUUCCUUUGGACAUCAGACUCCAGGUUCUUCAGCUUGCAGACUCUGGGACUUGCCCCAGCAGCCUCCCAAGGGGGCUCUUGGGCCUGAGGCCUGCACUGUCAGCUUCCCUGGUUCUAAGGCUUUGGACAGAAACUGAGCCACACUACCAGCUUGGAGCCAUGCUAUCGCUUCUAAGAUUCUCCAGCCUGCACUUGGCCUAUUGUGGGACUUCGUCUCUGUGACUCCGUGAGCCAAUUCCUCCUAAUAAAUCUCCUUCCGUUUAUCCUACUGAUUGUAUCUCUGGAGAACACUGAGUAAUGCAGGUACCCUUGGGCAGUAAACAACCUGUCAAACAAUACCCAGCAGACUUGGAAGGCACAGUGACUUCACAGAGAGAAGAUUGUACUGGAAAGGCCUAGAAUUGAGGGCAAUGGAAGGGUUUUCUUUCUCCCCUCUAAUGUAUAACCAAGCUUCCUACUCAAACCCUAUGUGAUAAAAAAGGAGAAUCAAGCGGAACCUGCAUCAGUAUCUAAUCAACAGACUUUUUUCCCUCCUAGAAAGGGCAUUUAAAUAUCAAUUCAAGCUAAGAAAACUGAGAAACUCCAGAAUAAAUGCUUUGGCAAAAACA
rnacentral:lncRNA from 1 species